GGGGGGGGAGAAUGCUUGCUUUCGUCCAGAGCAUUGUACAAGUAAAUAACCUAAAAAAAAAGCAUUCUCCAAGUAAAUAGGCACCACCUACCUUAGAUGUUGGGCAAGGCAAGUCCCAAGAAGGUAUAGGUUGGCUUCCAGCUCCAUCUUGGUUGACAUCUUUCUCUCCAGGGGUGGAGAGUCCUAGGGCAAACUACUCGCUUUGCUGUGUUGCCCAAACCCAGGGAAGGGCAUUUGCUGAGGAGUAUGGUUUUGAGGGAGGGAAAGCAUGGCUGACAAGCCAUCAGUGGCAUGGUUGAUUUCUGAUCUGCUAGGAACCAUGGGACCCAUAUGGUGCCAACUUUUGAAACUUUUGGGAGAACAAUCUUGAUAUGAUCUCUGGGCAACCCAUCCUUGAUAAAGCCUGUCAAUGAGCGGAAGGGUUGCUGGGACUCUAUCUUACUUAAUUGCUGCUCUUCUUCAUGUAUUAUCAUAGAUUUACUGUCUUUGAGAUUUAACGCGAGUGGUGGCUGGGAAAUUGAAUUUGCAAUGUUUCUUAGGCUUUUAAGAUCGUUGAUGAUCGAGGUCAGACUUAUCCUGAAUUGAUUGUUCGAGGAACAGUUGGUUGAUUUUGAUGGCCACCACGAUCGUUCCUCAGGGUGUGGCGAUGCUUAUGAUGAGUAUUUUUAGCUGAGGAUGGACCGCCUAGGCACACAUUUGAUGCUAAUCUGAGUGAUACUGGAGAGCAAACGAAUGGUUGUUACUAACUGAUGGAAAUGAGUAUUGAUGUUGUAACUUGACGUGCUAAUUGAUUAUUUUUUUUUACGCAUCUACGAGCUGAUCAACAGCAUUAUUGUACUCGAAAUGGGAUGUUAUCUCUUACAUAAAUAUGUUUAACCGAUUUA